AGCGUAUAAUGAGCAGUGAGACGACUGGAGGUCACUUUCAUCGCCAUCUUGGUUUUGGUGGGUUUUGGACAGCUUCUUUACGCAUGCUGUUUUAUCAGCAAGGUCUUUGUGACCUGUAUCUUGUGCCGACCUCCUAUCUCAUCCUGUGUCUAGGAAUGCCUUAACCUCCUGGAAUGCAGCUCAAGUCUCGCUGUGUUGCCCAGGCCAGAGUGCAAUGGCAUGAUCUCAGCUAACUGCAACCUCCACUGAGUUCAAGUGAUUCUCGUGCCUCAGCCUCCAGAGAAGCUGAGAUUACAGACGCAUGUAACAUUCGGUGCCGAAACCCAAGACAGGGGACUCCUUCAGGAGACCAGCCCCCUGUCCUCACCCACAGUCCGGGAGGAGAUCCACCUAUGACCUCGGGUCCUCAGACCAGCCCAAGGAACAUCUCACCAAUUUCAAAUUGGGACCCCACUGGAAGUCGGACUGUCCAACUUGGAUUACAGCUGCUCCUAGACCUACUGGAGCAAAAAGCCAAGGCUCCUGGCUGACUUCUUCCCAGAUCUCCUCGGCUUAGUGGCUAAAGACUGACGCUGCCCAAUCAUCUCGGAAGCCCCCUGGACCAUCACGGAUGCCGAGCUUCGGAUAACUCUUACAGUGGAGGACAGGAAUGUCAGGCCUGUGAGCCCAAAGUAAGGCAUCAUAGACCCUGUGACCUGCAUGUAUACAUCCAGAUGGUCUGGAGUAACUGAAGAACCACAAAAGAAGUGAAACAGCCAGUUCCUGCCUUAACUGAUGACAUUCCACCAUUGUGAUUUGUUCCUGCCCCACCCUAACUAAUCAAUCAACCUCGUGACAUUCCUCCCCUGGACAAUGAGUCUCAUGAUCUCCCCACCCUGCACCUUGUGACCCCUGCCCCUGCCCAUAAGAGAUAACCACCUUUAACUGUAAUUUUCCACUACCUACCCAAAUCCUAUAAAACUGCCCCACCCCUAUUUCCCUUUGCUGACUCCUUUUUCGGACUCAGCCCACCUGCACCCAAGUGAAUAAACAGCCUCGUUGCUCACACA